GUUCGAGGAUCCUUGUGUUCCUUUUUAUUAUCCACGAUUUAUUCAUUUUUUUGUUGUGCUUGUGCAUCUAUAGCUAUGUAGUUAAUGUCGAGAUUUAGUUUGGCUUAUGUUUUUGUGUGCAUAAUGUGUGCCGUUAGACCGACCGACGGUUGUUUUAGUAGGUUGUUUCUGUAAGGGUAUGUACGAUGGGUGUAUGCAAGAGUUGGUUUUAUGUAGUUUGGUGAUACGGAGGAAAAAGAAUGAGGAGAGAGUGAUGAUGUCGUUAGAAUUAUAGAUAAGUCUAUAACAUGUUUACAGAU
rnacentral:lncRNA from 1 species